UGACUGUCUGGACACAGUAGUA
rnacentral:miRNA from 1 species